AGACCUUUGCUUGGUGGUGGGCACGCUGACGCGGCCUUGACCAGUCAUGUCUUCUCGACGAUUGACCCCAAAGCCGCCCGGAAAAUCUCCUGAGGCGGCUUUUUU
rnacentral:ncRNA from 1 species